AUCGUUGUUAUUACCAAUCAGAUCAGUGGUACAAGUCUUUUUUCCUUGAUGUCUGAGUGUUUAGCCACAAGAGGCAUUAGAAGAGCCCGAACAGAACCUACCGAGCCUUCUGUCUGUGUAGUCUGCAACUUGACAAGGGAAAGCAAACGGAAGCUCAUGGAACUGAUGCAACCAUGAUCACACGCUUCGACGAGCGCCCUUGGGUAGUUACUUCGUUUGUGCUGCACAAAAUGCACGCUCUCCAUCCGUCAAGGAAGCAGGUUGUAAAUCAGCAUGGUCAAGUUGUAGUGACGUGAUAAAGGCAAGAAACUUUCACACAUUUUCUGUUCCAUUCACAAUUAUUUGAAGGGGCUGCUUAUCAGUUUUUAAUCUUGAAGCUUGCACGGUCACUAAUAUGACCAUGCUAUUUUAGAGUGAUAACCUUCAUUUCAGGUUGCAGGCUUCCGAACAAGAUUGCAAGAUA